GGCGAGGUGGCCAAGUGGUUAAGGUGAUGGACUACUAAUCCAUUGUGCGCUGCACGUGUGGGUUUGGAUCCCAUUCUCGUCG